GCGGGGGGCUGACAGAGUAGCCAGGGGGCGGGGGCACCUGUUUAAGAGAACGUGUUGUUGAGCCUCUUGAUGCCCGCGGUUUUGUGAUAAGGAGUCACUGAUUUACGUGUCCUCCAUGUUAAGUAAUAAAGUCAUCAUAACGGAAAACCCUCUAAGAAUAGUGACUGAGAUCGCUACACUAUCAUGUGCGGCACUGGCGGCAUGAAAAAGACGAUCUGCACUCGAUUCCUCUUCUUAACGACCAGGAAUACCAGUAGCUGGACACAUUUGCUUCUUAACUGUGGCCCUCCUAGCAACAUCCUCCACUAUGGACAACCAGUUGGAACUAUGAAUGGAAACCAAAUUCCAAAUCCCAGUAUGAACCAGCACCCCUAUUUCAUUGCCAGCCAGCCGCAACUUUCAACACAGCAUGGAAAUCAAGUUUUUGGGAUGGCAUCAGCAAAUAAGAUUCCUUUAUACUCGGCUAUUGCUCCAGUUUCUGGCACUAAUGCCAGUGGACACAGCCUGUUCUCAGUUGAAACCCAGCAUUUACAGCUUGUGCAGUCACAUCCAGUGGCGGGGAUGCAAAGACAACAGCCCUUUCUUGUUAACACGCUUCAAGUUCCCAUGAAUGUUUCUGUACUGACAAAUAGUGGAUUACGCAUGAGUCUGCAGCCACAGGCUAAGCUAAACAGUGACUGUAGUUCCUCCCACGUCUCUCAGUCUCAGCAUCCCAGUGGUUCAAAUCAAGUUCCAAAGCCCACCACGGAUCAGUUUGGCAAUCUCCAAAACUGUUUUCCUGGUAUAGUAACUCUUCUUGUCCAGCAGAGUGACUUGACUCCUGCUGCGAACCCAGGGCAUAUUCUUACCGGUCCAGUGACUGUUGGUUUGUGUAGUGAUGACGGUUCACUACAGAGGGUGCAAGAGCAAACAAAGAUUCCAGAGGUUAAUGGGGAAAAGUUGAUGCAGACAUCCUCAUCUCUCCCUACUGGACAGUCUGCAAGUUCAGGUCUUGCUAACAAUUCAUUUGUCUUAGCUUCUCAGCCUGUCAUCAUCAGUUCAACUAUCUCACCACCUACCUGCUCCUCAGCUGAUAGCAAUGCCCCUCCUCCUCCUCCCACCAUUUCCCAAAGUCUACAGUCAAAGCCUAACCCUUCCAGGUUUCAAGGUUGGAACACUUCCUUCUCAGGGAAGAGUGGUGCACAUACAACUCCGUCCUACUCCCAUUGCCCCCCUCCACCUCCUCAUCAUCAUCAUCAUCAACAAGACUUAAUGCACAGCUCCAAGCCCACUCAUACUCAUAAUAGUACAAAUUCAACCUCCUCUGUACAUCAACAUGCUUUAACAGGCCAAAGCAAUCUUUUUGCUGUCAGAACAAGUCAUGAAACUUCUAGAAAUAGAACGAGCAUCCCAGUAACAGCUUCUAAUCCCAAAGAUGACCCUGCUUGUGGAGGGGCAAGCACACAACAAAACGUGCAGCAAGUCUUCAAGGAAGUAAGAACUGUACCCGUCUUUCUGAGGAAUCAUAAAAUGCUUAAAGCCAUUUGCCUGGUCUUAGAGAAAUCAAUACGUAGACGUGAAGCAGCUACCAUCCUUAUUAUGCCAAACACAAGUUCGGGUUAUGAGAAGACGCAGUCAUUCGUCCAACAGUUAUGUCAAUCUGAUGUGCCGAUGAGGAAUACUUCCGCCACUGAUACAACUGAUGCACUCAGUGGUUCCGACCCAAAGGGAGACAGCAGAGACAAGAACAGUAACAGACCAAGCGUUGAUGGAACCAACAUAGUGGUGCAAACAAUCCGGGGACAAUUGAAAACACAUGUACAUAUUCACAGGGCUGUUGCUGUUGUCCCUCCGAUAUCACAACAGUCUACUGAUGAUCAUGAAGGAAAAAAACAAAAUUGUGACAAACAACCUUUUAAGAUACAGAGUGUUUGGUCACUUGCUGGAGAAAACACGGGGGAAUCCUUGCAUGAGUCUGGUUGUCAUCCUUCAGUUAUUGAUUGGUCCUCUGUGAAGUCCUCGUCUGAUCACAAGACGGUAGAAGAUCAAGACUGCUGUCAAAAUGGUGUCCCAGCUGGACAAUGUGCACCAAAUUCAUCACAAUUAACCGGACAGAAAUCUGAUGCAGCAGAAUGCCCAAAGGUUGAUGGAGGCAUCAUAGAUUCUCUGAAAUCAAAGAAUGAGGAAAUCAGUAUCCAACCACAGGAAUACCAGACAACCAACACUCAGUCAAACCAAAACUAUGGACAGUUGGGUGGCUUGGAUGGCCCGAGACAUGUUUUAUCUAGAAGUAUGGUGAAAUAUACUCUUGGGAUGCUGAAAGAGUUGGUGGCUGAUCUUGAAGCAGAAGACGUAAAGCAAGGCAGCAGGAGUGAUCAUGGCCCAGACGUUGUGGAGACCUUACUUGGCCUUUACUGGGGUGGAAGUUCUUAUAACUACAUGGUCGCAAAGGCAGAAGGUGCUAUUCAGAAUAUAUUGCAAGAGGCCACUGAGUUUCACAUGGCUGAUGAAUCAGUGGUCUUUGAUGGCAUGAGAAUGGAUGAUUUAUAUCAGCUAAGGGACCGAUUCUACAUUCUAAACAGGGAUUCUGAUGUUUACAAGCCAGAACACACUAACCUGUCGAAUCCAUACAUUCAUGACAAAGAGACAGUUACUGAUACUGUAAAAUCUGACCACAGAGAGGUUCAAGACCUCCCUGAGGGUGAAGAGCAGUAUGAUUGUGGCAUCCUUGAGCUGGGGAACAAACCAGAAAAGGACCACACAAAAUGUCAAAAGUCCUCUGGGGUUUUUCCAGUGAAGUCAACUGUGUUAUCAGAAGACGCAACAAAGUUUUUUGAUUGCAGAGAGUCUUUAACAGGUUCCUUUUCUCACAAAGAGCCCACCUCACCAGCACUGUGCUUUGGUGAAGAAUUAAAUCAAGACUUUCCAAAAAUGAAGAUACAAGUGUUGUCUCCAGACGAGGUAAAGGCACUUUCCAAGAUAUUGUAUGAAGAUCGUAAAGAGGGGUCUUCAACAUCCCCACCUGGCGCUCUUCACAGUCAUGCAGGUGAUGCGACUGAGGUUGGGCCUGUUUCUUCCCAACAGGGUUGUGCAAACCAACAGCGAAUCCAUGCAGAAACAGGUGAUGGUAAGACACUAGACUUGUGUAAAGGUGUGCCAUCAAUUUCUGCUUUGAUAAAGUUGGUUAAAGGGAUUGACAGGCACAUUCCUGUAGCAGACAAAAAACUAAAUGACAAAGGCAAGAGGACAUUAUUUAAAAAAAGGCCACAUAGUUGUCGUACAAAAGCCUUGAAUGUAAAGGACACAAGGGACCCAAGGUGUCUCCCACAUGACGACAGAAAUGCACAGAAAUCAUGUGGUAUAAUGGCACCUAAACAGCUUCUCAAUGGUCCAGGAAUCUCUCAGAAAGGUUGUGUUUCACCACCCAAGCGUGUGCACGGACCAAGGUCGAUGCCGUAUCCAUACCAUCGCAUCGCAUUUGACAGUCGUGUCACACCUUCUACAAAGGGUUUUGUCAGAAAUGAUGAAAAGGAAUGGCUUGAACAUGAUGGUGAAGAUCAAGCAGUCCAUAAACUAACAAAAUCACAUGGAUUGGAAAGGCAAUGUACUGCCCCCCAAGUGAUAGCCAGACUAGCCGUAACUCCAUCACCAGUCAGAAAGCUAAUGAAGCCUGGCGAUAAGAAGCCAGGCUCACAGGUAAAAGGACAAAAUGAGGAACAAAAGAAGGAUCGUCUACUCAUAGAUCAUGGCAUGCGCUGCAGCCGUUCUGUUUCGGCUACCCAGUCAGUACCCCCACAGAAACGAAAAAGGGAUAUGAACAAAAGUGUUGAGGAACAUUUGGAUCGGCAAGAAUUAACGCACCGGACUGUUCUGCAGCAACCAACAACAGAGAAAGCCACUGAAGCAUUGGCCAUAACCCAGGACAUUACUAAGUCCUCAGUAAAACAAAAAAAGCGUAAAUGUGAGCACAGAACGCCCUCAUCGGUGACGAGUUCUGCUAAGGAAAAGGUCCGUAAAACUUGGGUGAGCACUUAUGUGCCAACCAAUGUGAAAUCAAGAAGACCGUCUGACCAGACAGAAGAAGGACGGAGAAGGUUUUCUUCAGUUCAUCAGAGUUUAAACCAAGUAACAAACAAAUCGAAAUUACGUACUCUGUCACAGACAGUCAAGCCGGAUAUGGGACCAUUGAUAAUUGAGUUGAGGAAACAUGUGCAAGAAAGAAAAGCUAAAGAGUUAGUUUCUAGAGAAAGUUUCUUUCAGUAAAAUGUGAAUUGCAGGGUCCCAUAACCCAGUAUAGCCUUCAUUGCCUCCUGACUCAUUGAGAACUAAUGUCCCCCAGGUGCCAUGCAGGAGACAUGAGUAGCUGUUGACUCCACCGUCCUAGCAGAAGUGAUUUGAUUUUCUUAUGGAAACUAUAAAAAUUUGCUUUUAAAAUGCAUAUCAGUUAUGUGUUGUGUUGUUGACCACAAUCAUUUUCAACAAUGAGUUGGAAACGUCUAUUUCAUCAUUAUUGGCAUGCUUUCUACCUAUGGAUGGAUUCUCGUAGUUAGAUUUUUAUAAAUGUAUAUAAAAUGUAUUUUUGACACAACAUUCUGGAUGAGGUUGACAAUUUGAUAUUUUUUUGCCUGUAUAUUUUUUGUUACCAGAACAUUUGUACUGUAAGUGAUAUUUCUGUUGACUUUAAUGGCUGCUAUACAAAAUAAUUCAGAUUCUGUACAUUAAAUUUGUACAUAUAAAUAAAUUGACCAAAUAUAUGCA
ensembl:lncRNA